UUUAAACACUGAAACUCAGUGCAUUAAAAUACAGAUCAAAUUAAUAUGUUCAAAAAUUCUUUAUUUUUUAUUCAAAUUAUCAAAGUGAGGACAAGUGGAGAACAUCUCUAAAGAGAUAACAGCACAAACAACUUCCAUUUCUUCAAGAGUGUCGUUCUCCUUCUCUAAUGAUCUGCAGAUGUCAAAUUGUGGGCAACAGGAGAUGUUGGUGUGGAACACCUCUGCCUGCUCAGUCCAGCAUAACAAGCUGGCCAUGGGGAAUAUUCUGCCGACGGAUCAAUGGCAGAGAAGAUGUCAGUAGCCCACGAUAGAUAGGAAUUGUUCAUCUGGGCUCUCCCCUGGGCACAGCAUCUUGAAGGACCUCUUACAUCAACUAGAAAGCAAAAGAGUGUCAAAAUAAAACACUUGUAGAAGUUCUGCUAAUACUAUAA
rnacentral:lncRNA from 1 species